rnacentral:piRNA from 3 species
UAGCUCAAAUGGUAGAGCGCUCGCUU